UACGUAGGGGGCAAGCGUUAUCCGGAUUUACUGGGUGUAAAGGGAGCGUAGACGGCCACGCAAGUCUGAAGUGAAAGCCCGCGGCUCAACCGCGGAACCGCUUUGGAAACUGUAUGGCUGGAGUGCUGGAGAGGUAAGCGGAAUUCCUGGUGUAGCGGUGAAAUGCGUAGAUAUCAGGAGGAACACCGGUGGCGAAGGCGGCCAACUGGGCUUUUACUGACGCUGAGGCUCGAAAGUGUGGGUAUCAAACAGG
rnacentral:rRNA from 1 species